rnacentral:rRNA from 1 species
CAGUCGAACGAAACUUCUUUAUCACCGAGUGCUUGCACUCACCGAUAAAGAGUUGAGUGGCGAACGGGUGAGUAACACGUGGGCAACCUGCCCAAAAGAGGGGGAUAACACUUGGAAACAGGUGCUAAUACCGCAUAACCAUAGUUACCGCAUGGUAACUAUGUAAAAGGUGGCUAUGCUACCGCUUUUGGAUGGGCCCGCGGCGCAUUAGCUAGUUGGUGGGGUAAAGGCUUACCAAGGCGAUGAUGCGUAGCCGAACUGAGAGGUUGAUCGGCCACAUUGGGACUGAGACACGGCCCAAACUCCUACGGGAGGCAGCAGUAGGGAAUCUUCCACAAUGGGCGAAAGCCUGAUGGAGCAACGCCGCGUGGGUGAAGAAGGUCUUCGGAUCGUAAAACCCUGUUGUUAGAGAAGAAAGUGCGUGAGAGUAACUGUUCACGUUUCGACGGUAUCUAACCAGAAAGCCACGGCUAACUACGUGCCAGCAGCCGCGGUAAUACGUAGGUGGCGAGCGUUAUCCGGAUUUAUUGGGCGUAAAGGGAACGCAGGCGGUCUUUUAAGUCUGAUGUGAAAGCCUUCGGCUUAACCGGAGUAGUGCAUUGGAAACUGGGAGACUUGAGUGCAGAAGAGGAGAGUGGAACUCCAUGUGUAGCGGUGAAAUGCGUAGAUAUAUGGAAGAACACCAGUGGCGAAAGCGGCUCUCUGGUCUGUAACUGACGCUGAGGUUCGAAAGCGUGGGUAGCAAACAGGAUUAGAUACCCUGGUAGUCCACGCCCGUAACGAUGAAUGCUAAGUG